CAUAUUACAGAUACCACUGCAGCGCCAGGAAAUCUGUAUGCUCUUCAAGCUGCAAGUGAGAAUUCCAGGGAAUCUGGAUAUUCUUUACCACGUCCCCACUCCUCCUCCAGGAAGCCUUCCCUGACUGAGCUUCAGAUGGCUGGCACCGCUGUCUCCUGCCGCUCUCCGCGUUGCCGGCAUCAAGGAAUCUGGGCGCCUAUGACCCUCCUCCAUACUCUGGACGGUUCCGGCUUGGACCGAAAGCCUGGGCCUCGGCGGAGGGCGGAAGUGCGGCCCGGGGAGGGGCCGGCAGGCAGAGAAAGGUGGCCGGCGGCCAGCCCCGCCCCUACCUGUGUAAGCCGAUCCGCCCCGCGCCUAGCGGAUAAAAGUGGCCAGUCUCCCAGAGGUCAGCGAGUUCGGCCCUCUGUCGCCUGCCGCUCAGUCCAGCCCGCACAGCCAGCAUGUCCGUCCACUUCAGCUCCCAGGUCUUCAGCUCGCGCUCGGCCGCCUUCCCGGGGCGCGGCACCCAGGGGCGCCUGAGCUCAGCGCGCCUUGGUGGCUUGGGCAGCAGCAGCAGCAGCAGCCUCUACGGCCUGAGCGCCUCGCGGCCGCGCGUGGCCGUGCGCUCAUCCUACGGGGCCCCCGUGGGCGCGGGCAUCCGCGAGGUCACCAUCAAUCAGAACCUGCUGACCCCGCUGCAGGUGGACAUCGACCCCUCCAUCCAGCAGGUGCGCCAGGAGGAGCGGGAGCAGAUCAAGACCCUCAACAACAAGUUCGCCUCGUUCAUCGACAAGGUGCGGUUCCUGGAGCAGCAGAACAAGCUGCUGGAGACCAAGUGGGCGCUGCUGCAGGAGCAGAAGUCGACCAAGAGCAGCCGCCUUCCUGGCAUCUUUGAGGCCCAGAUUGCUGGCCUGCGGAAGCAGCUUGAAGCACUGCAGCUGGAUGGGGGCCGCCUGGAGGCGGAGCUUCGGAGCACGCAGGACAUCGUGGAAGACUUCAAGAAUAAGUAUGAAGAUGAAAUUAACCAUCGCACGGCUGCUGAGAAUGAGUUCGUGGUGCUGAAGAAGGAUGUGGAUAUCGCCUACAUGAACAAGGUGGAGUUGGAGGCCAAGGUGGACGCCCUGAAUGAUGAGAUCAGCUUCCUCAGGACCCUCUACGAGGAGGAGUUGAAAGAGCUGCAGUCCAAGGUCUCGGACACCUCCGUGGUCCUCUCCAUGGACAACAGCCGCUCCCUGGACCUGGACGGCAUCAUCACCGAGGUCAAGGCCCAGUACGAGGAGAUCGCCAACCGCAGCCGGGCCGAGGCCGAGGCCUGGUACCAGACCAAGUUUGAGACCCUCCAGGCCCAGGCUGGAAAGCACGGGGACGACCUCCGGAAUACCCGGAAUGAGAUUGCGGAGAUGAACCGAGCCGUCCAGAGGCUGCAGGCGGAGAUCGACAACAUUAAGAACCAGCGUGCUAAGUUGGAGGCCGCCAUCGCCGAAGCUGAGGACCGUGGGGAGCUGGCCCUCAAGGAUGCUCGCGCCAAGCAGGAGGAGCUGGAGGCCGCCCUGCAGCGGGCCAAGCAGGACAUGGCCAGGCAGCUGCGCGAGUACCAGGAGCUCAUGAACAUCAAGCUGGCCCUGGACAUCGAGAUCGCCACCUACCGCAAGCUGCUGGAGGGCGAGGAGAGCCGGCUGACUGGAGAUGGAGUGGGAGCCGUGAACAUCUCUGUGGUGAACUCCACGGGUGGCGCUGGCAGCCGGCUGAGCUUCGGGGGAACCAUGGGCAGCAACGCCCUGAGAUUCUCCAGCGGUGGAGGGCCUGGGACCCUCAAGAGCUAUUCCUUUAGGACCACAUCUGCCACUGGCAGGAACACCCACAACUGAGCCCUGGGUGUGGGGAGACCUGUACCACUUGCCCCCAUUGUCACAAGAGGACUCCCAUCCCUGGUCCCAAGACUGAGAAGCAGUCUGAAAAGUGAUGUCAGAACAGCUUUCAAUAAAGCAGCCCCUUUCUGAGGCCUGGGUGGGCCCCAUGCCCAGCA